rnacentral:rRNA from 1 species
ACUCAAAGGAAUAGACGGGGGCCCGCACAAGCGGUGGAGCAUGUGGUUCAAUUCGACGCAACGCGAAGAACCUUACCUGGGCUUGACAUGCUGGUAGUAGAAACCUGAAAAGGCGACGAGCCCCGCAAGGGGAAGCCAGCACAGGUGCUGCAUGGCUGUCGUCAGCUCGUGCCGUGAGGUGUUGGGUUAAGUCCCGCAACGAGCGCAACCCUCGCCCUUAGUUGCCAGCGGGUAAUGCCGGGCACUCUAAGGGAACUGCCCGUGAUAAACGGGAGGAAGGUGAGGAUGACGUCAAGUCCUCAUGGCCUUUAUGCCCAGGGCCACACACGUGCUACAAUGGCCGGUACAAAGGGUCGCGAACCCGUAAGGGGGAGCCAAUCCCAAAAAACCGGUCUCAGUUCAGAUUGGGGUCUGCAAUUCGACCCCAUGAAGUCGGAAUCGCUAGUAAUCGCGGAUCAGCACGCCGCGGUGAAUACGUUCCCGGGCCUUGUACACACCGCCCGU